rnacentral:rRNA from 1 species
GAAUUUUGGACAAUGGGCGAAAGCCUGAUCCAGCAAUGCCGCGUGCAGGAUGAAGGCCUUCGGGUUGUAAACUGCUUUUGUUCGGAACGAAAAGCUUUGGGUUAAUACCCUGGAGUCCUGACGGUACCGUAAAAAUAAGCACCGGUUACAUCCGUGCCAGCAGCCGCGGUAAUACGUAGGGUGCAAGAGUUAAUCGGUAUUACUGGGCGUAAAACGGGCGCAGGCGGUUUUGUAAGACAGAGGUGAAAUCCCCGGGCUCAACCUGGGAACUGCCUUUGUGACUGCAAGGCUAGAGUACGGCAGAGGGGGGUGGAAUUCCGCGUGUAGCAGUGAAAUGCGUAGAUAUGCGGAGGAACACCGAUGGCGAAGGCAACCCCCUGGGCCUGUACUGACGCUCAUGCACGAAAGCGUGGGGAGCAAACA